rnacentral:rRNA from 1 species
UACGUAGGGCGCAAGCGUUGUCCGGAAUUAUUGGGCGUAAAGAGCUCGUAGGCGGUUUGUCGCGUCUGCUGUGAAAACCUAAGGCUCAACCUUGGGCUUGCAGUGGGUACGGGCAGACUAGAGUGCGGUAGGGGUGACUGGAAUUCCUGGUGUAGCGGUGGAAUGCGCAGAUAUCAGGAGGAACACCGAUGGCGAAGGCAGGUCACUGGGCCGCAACUGACGCUGAGAACGCGAAAGCCAGGGGAGCGAACGGG